rnacentral:rRNA from 1 species
CCCUUAGAUGUUCUGGGCGGCCCGCGCACUACAUUGGCACUCUCAAUAAGUUCCUAGAUCUAAAACUUUGGGGUAUUCUAUUAAGUGGUGUCGUGACUGGGAUUAACCCUUGCAAUUAUUGGUUACGAACGAGGAAUUCCUUGUAAUCGCGGUUUAUCAGCCCACGUUGAAUGCGUCCCUGCCCUUUGUACACACCGCCCGUCGUUCCUACCGAUGAAUCGUCCGGUGAAGUUCAUGGAGUGGUGGUUGUUCCAGCUGCUGUCGAAGUGAAAUGGACCUCACGAUUUAGAGGAAGGAGAAGUCGUAACA